UGAGUGAAUGACAUCAAGGAAACAGGAUCAAAAGAUCAUUCAUUAUAGACCGUUUCAUAGUUGGUUAUAUUUUUCAGGUCAUUCUGUUCUCCUGGUUGUGAGGAUGUGCAGAGGCUGUAUUUGUCAGUGUUAUAAGACUUGUGCAGCUGUAUCCAGACAUACAAGCAGCCAACAAAGAGUUCUGGAGCAGGACAGACAGGAGAGCACGGUGGUGCAGAGGGUAGCACGUUUUCCUCA